rnacentral:rRNA from 1 species
UACCAGCACCCCGAGUGGUCGGGACGUUUAUUGGGCCUAAAGCAUCCGUAACCGGUUCUGCAAGUCUUCCGUUAAAUCCACCUGCUUAACAGAUGGGCCGCGGAAGAUACUAUAGAGCUAGGAGGCGGGAGAGGCAAGCGGUACUCGAUGGGUAGGGGUAAAAUCCGUUGAUCCAUUGAAGACCACCAGUGGCGAAGGCGGCUUGCCAGAACGCGCUCGACGGUGAGGGAUGAAAGCUGGGGGAGCAAACCGG